GCCCCUAUAGCUCAGUGGUAGAGCACCCGCUUAGUAAGCUGAAGGUCGGUAGUUCAAUCCUGCCUGGGGGCA
rnacentral:tRNA from 1 species